GCCCCGUUCGUCUAGCGGUCAAGGAUACUGGAUUCUCAGUCCAAUGACACGGGUUCGAGUCCCGUACGGGGUA
rnacentral:tRNA from 1 species